rnacentral:rRNA from 1 species
UACGUAGGGUCCGAGCGUUGUCCGGAAUUACUGGGCGUAAAGAGCUCGUAGGUGGUUUGUCGCGUUGUUCGUGAAAACUCACAGCUCAACUGUGGGCGUGCGGGCGAUACGGGCAGACUAGAGUACUGCAGGGGAGACUGGAAUUCCUGGUGUAGCGGUGGAAUGCGCAGAUAUCAGGAGGAACACCGAUGGCGAAGGCAGAUCUCUGGGCCGUUACUGACGCUGAGGAGCGAAAGCGUGGGGAGCGAACAGGA